CGUUCUCCUCCACUCACUUUUGGUUUCUUUUUGCAUCCCAGCCACACGGUGAGCUGCCUUGCUGUGCCAUGGGCUCAUGCAAUGAUGUGCUGUCCUCCUCCCCCACCAGAGGCCUGGAAGCAAUGGGUCUCUCCAACUAAAACCUCUAAACUCUGAGCCCAAUGAGAAGUCCAUUGACAUCAGGAAUCAGCAGAACGGAACACUGUUCCAGCGGCUGGACCAUCAUCUUGGAGAGCCAGGCAGUCCCUGUCGGACCCAGCAUGAAGUGCAUCAGGCUCCUCUAUAUUCCGAAAGGCCAUAGGUGCAAGGUACAUGAAUCAGGAGGUGCAAUGGAGAACAGAUCUCAUGCAAUAGCAAUAAAAAUAUACAACACCCAUCAGUAAAGCAGUAAAACUGUGUGAGACACGUAUGGAUAAAAACAUGAAACUUUACAGGAGAUGACAGAGGAACCUGAAUGAAAGCAGUGUCAUCGUGUUCCCGCAUGAAAAGAUGUGCUGUAAAGUGACCUGUGUCCUAAAUGAAUCUGCAAGUCAAAGUAUUGUCAAUCAAAUGUUGGGUGUAAAAAUCGAGUCUCAUAAACUCUAUAAGACUAACUAAAAUGGCUCAUAUAUCUCAAUGAAAAACAUAACUGUAACACACUUAACAAGAUAACAGGCAAGAAACCUUCCACCAUCAAAGAGUUCCUGGAAAUGACUCCCAAAGCACCAGCCAUAAAAGAUGAAGUUGAUAAAUUAGGUUUCAUCUAAAGCUUAAAACUUUGCUCCUGGAAAGACUAUGUUAAGAGAAUAAAAAGAUAUGAAAUGGCUAGGCCAAAAGCAAUCACAUAUCACAUCUAAAAAAUGUGAGCAACUACCUGGUUCUGGAGCCCAGUAGAAAAUGAAAACAUGGGACUCUCAUUGCAAGAUCAUUAAGGAUGGCAAGAUGGAGGGAGAUGGA